rnacentral:rRNA from 1 species
UACGUAGGGUGCGAGCGUUGUCCGGAAUUACUGGGCGUAAAGAGCUCGUAGGUGGUUUGUCGCGUUGUCCGUGAAAACUCACAACUCAAUUGUGGGCGUGCGGGCGAUACGGGCAGACUGGAGUACUGCAGGGGAGACUGGAAUUCCUGGUGUAGCGGUGAAAUGCGCAGAUAUCAGGAGGAACACCGAUGGCGAAGGCAGCUCGCUGGGACGGUACUGACGCUGAGGCGCGAAAGCGUGGGGAGCAAACAGG